GCAAAACGCGAAGAACCUUACCAGGUCUUGACAUCCCGCUGACCGCUCUAGAGAUAGAGUUUUCCCUUCGGGGACAGCGGUGACAGGUGGUGCAUGGUUGUCGUCAGCUCGUGUCGUGAGAUGUUGGGUUAAGUCCCGCAACGAGCGCAACCCUUGAUCUUAGUUGCCAGCAUUCAGUUGGGCACUCUAAGGUGACUGCCGGUGAUAAACCGGAGGAAGGUGGGGAUGACGUCAAAUCAUCAUGCCCCUUAUGACCUGGGCUACACACGUGCUACAAUGGACGGUACAGAGGGUCGCAACCCCGCGAGGGUGAGCAAAUCCCAUAAAACCGUUACUCAGUUCGGAUUGUAGGCUGCAACUCGCCUACAUGAAGCCAGAAUCGCUAGUAAUCGUGGAUCAGCAUGCCACGGUGAAUACGUUCCCGGG
rnacentral:rRNA from 1 species